GGCAGGCGUGCUGCUGAGGCAUGAGUAUGGCGUCUCGCGGCCGGCGUCCGGAGCACGGUGGACCACCGGAGCUGUUUUAUGAUGAGAAAGAAGCCCGGAAAUACGUUCGCAACUCACGGAUGAUUGAUAUCCAGACCAGGAUGGCUAGGCGAGCACUGGAGCUUCUUUAUCUGCCAGAGAAUAAGCCCUGUUACCUGCUGGAUAUUGGCUGUGGCACUGGGCUGAGUGGAAGUUAUCUCUCAGAUGAAGGGCACUAUUGGGUGGGCCUGGAUAUCAGCCCUGCCAUGCUGGAUGAGGCCGUGGACCGAGAGAUAGAGGGAGACCUACUGCUGGGGGAUAUGGGCCAGGGCAUCCCAUUCAAGCUGGGCACAUUUGACGGUUGCAUCAGCAUUUCUGCUGUGCAGUGGCUGUGUAAUGCUAACAAGAAGUCUGAAAACCCUGCCAAGCGCCUGUACUGCUUUUUUGCUUCUCUUUUUUCUGUUAUCGUCCGGGGAUCCCGAGCUGUCCUGCAGCUAUACCCUGAGAACUCAGAGCAGUUGGAGCUGAUCACAACCCAGGCCACAAAGGCGGGCUUCUCCGGUGGCAUGGUGGUGGACUACCCUAACAGUGCCAAAGCAAAGAAAUUCUACCUCUGCUUGUUUUCUGGGCCUUCGACCUUUAUACCAGAGGGGCUGAGUGAAAAUCAGGAUGAAGAUGAACCCAGGGAGUCUGUGUUCACCAAUGAGAGGGUCCCAUUCAGGAUGUCGCGGCGGGGAAUGGUGAGGAAGAGCCGGGCAUGGGUGCUGGAGAAGAAGGAGCGGCACAGGCGCCAGGGCAGGGAAGUCAGACCUGACACCCAGUACACCGGCCGCAAGCGCAAGCCCCGCUUCUAAGUCACCACACAGUUCUGGACAGGCACUUGCC